AUUUCAAAUCGAUUCACACACAUAGCAGACGCUAACACAUCAAGCGUCAUCAAUAGCGUGGUCUAUGGUGCAAUGCUAUCACUGGAGUAAGGCGUUUAUCUUCUAUUCGGGUAGCGUCAUGAUUGGCCUACCCUGAUGGCGUCAUGAUCGCUGCUGAUUGCCUUUCAAAUAGGUUUUCAGCAUUCUGCUUACACCUUUGGCAUAGAGUCACAUAUUUCACAAUCCAACAUCAAUUGGUACCAACAGCAGCCCUUCUCUCCAUCAUCCAGAAGGGUCUGAGAUCAGUGUUGGAGAUGAUGGUUCGGAACAACCCAUGGAAAGCUUAUCACUCAUUGAUGCUGUGAUGCCUGAUGUUGUUGCAAGUCGUCAACAGCAAACCCAGAACAAACAGAAACCACAAGUGGUAAAGACAGAACCACCAAAUUCCAAUGGAGAUGAACCCAUGCAUUCCAAUCGCUGGGAAGAGGAAACAGGAGUAGAGAUACCUGCCAGCAAAUCUACUGUACUUCGUGGCCAUGAAUCUGAAGUUUUCAUCUGUCUGCGCCUGAACCCAACAACAUUCAGAAGGGUGGAACUGAAGUUCCGAGCAACAAAGAUGUCACCUCACUUGACUGGUAUUUGCUGGGAUAACUGAACAGAAGUUUUAAAGAAAGACAGAAACAAUUGACAAGACCCAUCUCUUCUAGAUUUCACCGUCCAACUGGCUUCUGUAAAAGAAUCGAGCAGGCUGAGUCUUGAGACACUGGCAACAGAAGUUUGAGAAUGGAAAUCACAGAUUGAUGACCUUCAGAAGGAAUUGUUAGUUGCAGAUCCCGAUCUUAUCGAUUUUAUGAAAGGAUUUCUAGUUGAAGCAAAGGAGAAAGUGUUGGCAAUGCAGAAUGCAUUCAUGGAACAAUUAAUCAUUUAAUUCAACAAUUCCAACGUAAUACGAAGGAAAUCUGAUUUAUGGCUUAUUUAAUAGCUUAGCUUAUCGUCGUUAGUAACUUGCAUCGUAACGAAUUAAUUUUUUGGUAGCUUCUUGAUUGUUUAAACGAAGUACAAGGUUACAAUCAAUGCAUUAUAGUAGCGUUGUAUAAUGUAUAAUCCACUUAAUGGCCACUUAAUGAGAUGGAAUAUUGGAAUGUUAAACUUUAUUGAAGUGAGAAAAAUUUAAUUUGAACAAAGUGAGGCUGACUGGAAACAAACUAAGAUGAAUAAUUAAA
rnacentral:lncRNA from 1 species